rnacentral:piRNA from 1 species
UUUAAUACAUGUAUGUUUCAG